GGUGAGGUUUGCAAUAUCCCAGACGUUGAACCGGACUAUAUUUGAAGACACUGAAAUAAUACAACAUUUAAAAGAAAGGAGGAUAAACUCUUUCCCUAUUAUCUUUUCAUUUGGGAUUAAAAGAAAAACAGGAUGGGUAUCAAACGGAUCAUAUCACUCGCCCUGAUUCUAAUAGUGGUAUCGACAACUGCUAAUGUAGCUGCACAGACAUCUUCAACAACUGAUGCACCGACAACUGCUGCACCUACAACUGCAACACGUACGACUGCUGCACCCACAACUGCUGCACUCACAACUGCUUCACCCACAACUGCUGCACCUACAACUGCUGCACCUACAACUGCUGCACCAACAACUGCUGCACCUACAACUGCUACACCUACAACUGCUGCACCAACGACCACUUCA